GACGAACGCUGGCGGCGUGCCUAAUACAUGCAAGUCGAACGAGAGCGACCGGUGCUUGCACUGGUCAAUCUAGUGGCGAACGGGUGAGUAACACGUGGGUAACCUGCCCAUCAGAGGGGGAUAACAUCCGGAAACGGAUGCUAAAACCGCAUAGGUCUUCGAGCCGCAUGGCUUGAAGAGGAAAAGAGGCGCAAGCUUCUGCUGAUGGAUGGACCCGCGGUGCAUUAGCUAGUUGGUGAGGUAACGGCUCACCAAGGCCGUGAUGCAUAGCCGACCUGAGAGGGUGAUCGGCCACAUUGGGACUGAGACACGGACCAAACUCCUACGGGAGGCAGCAGUAGGGAAUCUUCCGCAAUGGACGCAAGUCUGACGGAGCAACGCCGCGUGAGUGAAGAAGGUUUUCGGAUCGUAAAACUCUGUUGUUAGAGAAGAACAAGUGCUAGAGUAACUGUUAGCGCCUUGACGGUAUCUAACCAGAAAGCCACGGCUAACUACGUG
rnacentral:rRNA from 1 species